ACUUAAGAGAGGAGGAAUGGAGUGCUGUGGUGGUAGGAAUAACAUCUACAAUUGAAUGCUUCUUGUCAUGGAAAUUUCUGGUUGUUUGCUUCAUGUUAUUUUUGAAGAUGUGGCUAACUCUGAAUAGACAGUGCAGCCAAUCACAUCCAGAACUGUGCAUCUCGUCCUCCCAAGUUUACCUUGCCAAUUUCGUGAGCCAGUUGCAAAAGAGGAUGCAUCACCACAGUGCAGCAUUUUAUCAUUCACAAAGCUUAUGGCAUCUCAAAGCUUUCUUUUCUCUGCAAGGAAGAAUUGAAAGUAAGACCUUUGAGAUAUUGGAAGAGUUGGCUUGUGAAAAAGAGCAGGAAAAAAAACCCAAACAAACAUAUGUUCAUGAAUAUGAUUAUACCUACAGUGAACCUCAGGGCCAGGACCACAGAGCUCGUUGAACCUGCUGUUCCCCUUCAUGUGCAUCAGUGCUUUGUGUGGUCUACAGAACACCUGUAGCUCAGUAUAAUAAACCCUACAGGCUUUGAAAGACUUCUGGAGCUUAGAUGACCUGCAGAUCCAUCUGCCUUUAUAUUUUGCAGAGUUAUGUAUCUUCUUAGGAGAGUCCUUUUGCCUGACUUGCUUGUAUUAUGUUGCUGCAGGGCAGCUGGUAUUUGAUAAUUGUACAAUCCAGACCUCAACGUACUCUAACUCAGUAGGGCUUCAGCUAAGUUUCACAUCUACAGCAUGCCCCAAAUCUCAAUUAAAGUUCAUGGUAAACAUAUAACUCAUGUCCAAACAGCGUGGGCCUGUGAGUACCUGCACAGUUUAGCGUGAAUAAUAGUAUAACAGAAAAGUUGAUGUUAGGAAUUCAGAUUCUUUAGGAGACCUUUGAUAUGUAUCCUGUACGUUGACUGUACUGGAAAUUUCUACUGCUACUGUCACUAGAAUAUCCUACAGUUGCAUGUCAUUUUGUUGUGCACCUUCACACAAACAUAGGAAGCCUGCACUGCUAUCAUCUUGCAAGAAUGCUGACAGGGUUGGAUAACUUUGCUUUACGCCAUGAUUCCAUUCAUCCUUUCUGGCUGCAGGUGUCUUAGGAGGUGGUGGUUCAUCUUGUCUCCUUGGGCACUGUGUACUUCGUACCUUUCUCAGAAUUGCACUUGACAUUUCAAUGUUCAAAACUUUAGUAUACGUGGCAUGUCGUGUUGAUUUUCACACUUGAGUUGGAAAUCAAGAAAAGUUCAAUGUUUCCCACCCCAAAGAAACCAAAUGUUUCAAAGAACUGAGCCUGAAAAUAAAUUCAAAACUUUUCAUGACAUGAAAAAUAUGAGGCAGAGUGAAUAAUUUAAAAACAGUGCAAUGCAAUAUUUUGUAAAGCAAGCAAACAAACAAACCCCAGCAUAUACCAUGCAGUAUUGAUAACCUUGGCAGACAGACAAAAGCCCCAUCACAAAAAAAAGAGAACUUCUAAAAGCAUAGAAAAAUGUUAACAGUUGGCCAGCUGUUAGGGAAAAAAAACCUUAUCCAAGUUCUAAACACUAAGCUGCAAGGAAGCAAGGCUCUUAAUGUGUCUGCAGCAGGGAAGCUGAGCACAAACAUAAAAUCGGUGCCAGUGGAAUAUUCCCUAAGGGCAAAGCCCUGUUUUAUCAUCUAAUCGCUAAUCUGAAGCUGUGUGAGUACAAAUGUGGCAACUGGAUAUACCUGUUUUUGUCAGCCUCUCUCCAGCCAGACUAAGUCAAGCCUUAGACUAAUUCAGUUACUCCGAGAUAAAUUCUGGCAGUAGCGAGUUUCCUCUGCACUGUAUCUGCUUCUUUCCUGGAGUGACGGGGCUGAGUGGGACAUUGUAUAAUUCCUCCUCUUUGUGUCUCACCACCACUGUUUCUUAGAAUUAAGGAAAAAAAAACAAACAAACAACCAAGCAUCCAAGUGAUAAAUUUUGUAUCAAGAUCUGUGGAACACAGAGAAACUCCGCUCCAGCUGGGAAAACAGAGUCAUUGCCAAGACUAAGAGAAAUGAGGUGACUUUACCCAUAAAUCCCAAGCAAUCUUUAUCUCUUAGACAUGAUAGCUAACGAAUAACCAUUUGUUUACAAAUAGCUAUAUCAUUUUCUGGUAGUUGGAAUUUUCUAAAGCUGGAUCAUAUUUACUUCCUUCUGAAGCCUUCCAUUGAAACUCUACAAGAUUUCACUUUAACUAUCUGAUGUCUUUAAAAAUCAAAUCCACCUUAAUUCCUUUGGGUAUCGUGUUAGGUAGAAUUUCUUUCAGAUCUUGCAAAAAAGUCUAGGAACUUCUUAUGAGUUUUUUUAAUAUUUAAUUGUAAGUCAUUUUAAAUAAAAUACGUGAAUUUCCUUUAGCUCAGUGGCUUCAUUAUCUUUUGCAGAUGGGAUAAGUAAGGAUAAGUAAUUUUUCCUAAAACUUUGAGCUAUCAUACAACUGACAAGUUUUCAAGAUGGCAAACGAUGAUGAAUGCUUCCUGAUUAUUAGAGCUGCUAAGCCAUGAGAAAUAAAACCAAAAUUUUAUUGAACCACUGAGCAUCAAGAGAAAACUGUUUAUCCAAAUGAAAUUUAUGGAUUUCAAGAGUUUUUAAAGCUUUGUUCCUCUUUGAACUAUUUUGUUUUGGGAUCUCUUUUUUUUUUUUUAGGGUAAAGAAAAUGUUUAUCAAUAAAAAUAAAAUUCCUUCUGAAGGACAUGGAAUUUCACUCCUUGAACCACCACCAUCCAUUGUAAAGUCUUUUUUUAUUUUAUCUCUACAUCCCUUUUUUUUUUUUUGUUGCCUUCUGAAGACAAAAUCUCUCUAGUCAAGUAUUAGUGAGAUAACAAGGGGCUGUAUUUUAAAAAGCAUAGUUGAAUUGGUUGCUGUGACAAAAAUUCAAGUUUUCACAUUUGAAAAAGAAACUACUAAAGAGAAUUUUCCCCCAGAACCUCUUAAGGAAUGUGCCAGAACUAAACCAGCAUCCUUUCUUGAAUUACUAGAAAACCUGAGCCACGAAAUUUCAUCUCAAGAAAUUACUAAGAAUUCUUUCUGCUAUGACAAGUAAUACAUUCUAAACUAGUUAUCGUUAAACUGGUCCAACGAUGCAAAUGGUAUCCUCCAAUAUAUCUGUAUAUUUACUUUUAGUAAAAUUAAAAUUUGUGAUUUUAACUUUCCAGCUUUUCUGAACUUCCACUUGAGGGCAUGUAUGGCCAAGAUGGUUCUACAGCCUUUCAAUUUACAUCUCCCCUGUCUGCUACUCAUGAAUCAUAGACUUGUUCUUCAGCCAUCCUGCCCUACCCAAUUCAAUUAAACUUAAUUUUGGCUCUCUGAAUCAGCCUUCUAUUCUCUUAGUAUUUGCCCACAAUCAGCUAUACCAAUUAACAAAUUUCUGCUCAGAUUAUUUUUUUUUCCAUCAUUUUAGAAUUGUUAUGGCAAUCAGGGUUUGAUUCCUUUCUUUUCCCUUGAGACUUCUUUCAAUUCUCCUUUGUCUUCCAAGGAAAUUUUCCAAUUUCCACUCAUAAAAAUACAUAUAUAUAUGUAUAUACAUAUAUAUAUAUAUAUAUAUAUAUUUUUUUUUUUGAAAGAGGGAAAGGGAGGAGCAUUACUUCUUCGCAGUGCCGCAGGAUUUCUUGCUAGUGAAUGUUUUUCUAGUUCAUUCUGAGGUAUGGCAACACGGACAGGGCUAAGAACAAGAGAUAUUUUGGUUUGCCAUCUAACUUCUCUGUCUUCUCAUAUGUGGGUGUACAUGUGUCUGUAUAAUAUGGAAAUGCAUGCUUUAUAUAUGCAUGUGCUGUAUAUACAGAUGCAUACCUUUGUGCUAAAAUGCGCUCCUACACAGGACUGAGUGAAUUUUUAAUGAAACAUGGAGAUUAGGUUUAAUAUUUUCUUGUGUUCUUUGCUUUAGUGCAUUCUGCAGGUGUACUUGCAAUGUACUAAUUAUUUGGUAAACAGAAGAAGAAGCUUCUCAACUUGGCAUUCUUGAAGUUAUGUUGUUCAGAAAGAGUGAUUGAAAGGCAAUACAAUCUGCUUGUACAUAUUUAGUGCUCCCAUCUCUCUGAGUUAUGUCAUUGGAUACAGGUUUCUUUAGUAGGAUUCAGAUCUUACAUAAGAGCUUGAACUGCUAUGUUGUUGUGACCUGAAAAAAAUAAAUAAAAAUAAAAAUCAGCCAUUAGAUGUCAUAGGGCCAGUGUAGGAUCAUGAGACUAUUUAGAACUUUCAUCUGAUUGUUGGCACUGCACUGGAAGGUGCAGCCGUAAAAAUCAAAAUGCAUAUGUAAACAACUCCAAGUCGUUAGCCAUAUUGUUUGAAAAAGUAAUGUUUACUGACUUGCAUUUGUUUUGCUGUAGCUUAUCUUGGAUUCUGAAAAAAUCUUAACAGAUUCUUGAAUAUUACACCCUUAUAUGAGUGAAGGGAACAGUUACAGCAGUAAUGGUAAGAAAUGUUCUUUAAACAGUAGAUAAAAUUUGUUAUUUUUGGCAUAAAUUAAUGACAAUGUGAUGAGAGUUAAGAGGAAACGUGUAGCAUGAACUAGUUAUUGCAUUUUUAUUCAAUACUUUGAGCAAUUUAUUUUCUUUUGAAGAGCAUUUGGCACUGGGCGCUGUCACGGCAUUAGAGAAGGAGGCCUAUUGGUCUUAUCUAGGAUGUCAGUUCCUAAUAUUCUUGUAAUUUCCUUUGGAAAAGACAGAAGAGAAGUGCCCAAUAAAGUAAACACACAAGUAAUUGUUCCAGAGCACUUAUUGUAGGGUUAGCAGAAUGAGUAACCUGCCUUGCUUAUAAAAUCUGUAUAAACGUAGAAAAAUAUGUAAAAUGUAAUGUUUCUUAUUAGAAAGUAAUAGAAAUGGAAAUUGAUUUCAUAGAAAGCAAACAAAAUACUGUUUUUUUCUGUAACAUUUUUUGUUGUUGUGAGACAUCAGUAUAAUAGUAUCAUUGCAAACAGCAGGUGUCUUGCUGUUGCUUGGUUCAAAGAAGAUAGGGGUUUUCUCAGUAUCAGGUCUGCUUAGGUUAAUGUACAGCUACUUUAUCUCUAAUUAUAGCUGUUUAGUUUUUUGACUACCUUCCAGACAAAGCUCUUGCCUCACUGAAAACGUUCACUAGAUCAAUUCAAGUAGACUAUGUCUUCAGGAACAUACCCUCUAGCUCUCAGACUUGCAUUCUGUUUUUAAGUGUGCUAAAUUCUGCUUCAGUGGAGCACUGUUUAUCAUAUGUUGAGCUGUGAACUGACUUUCAUGAGAACACAAGGUAAUUUAAGAGAUAUUACCGCUCAGGGCUUGAAUUCUGAAUACCUUCACAUGUACCCAGGAGGAUAUGAGAGCUCAGGUUUCACAUGCUGGCUCAAGAGGGCCAGAAUUUAUACUCUAGAAACCAGAUUUCAAAUGGGCUGGGUACAGGUAGAUCAAAGGAAAGUAUGUUUUGGAGGUUGAGAAUGGAUUAAGCUGCUGAUGAAGUAGUAAAAAUACAAUCUCUCAGAUUGCUGCUGGUCUCAGAUUUCAAUGCUUUUCUGCAGCUGAGAGUUCUCUUCAUACAAAAUGAGCUGAAUAGCUGAACAGAUAAGAUCAUUGACUAUGAGUGAAUGUGAUUUACUGUAUGAGGGAUAAUAUUGUUUCUUAGAGUUGAGUGCAAAAGUUAAACUGUCCAAAAGGACAAUGACAGUUUAGCAGCCCAGUUUUUUUCCCCUGGCAUUUGAAUCUCAUGUUUCAGAAUUAAAUCAUUCACUCUAAAAAAUGUUCCUCUAGCUUUUUCUAAAAUAUUCCAUCAAGCACAAAUAUGCAAUAAGCAAUGAUGUAGUAUAGUUUAAAUGUAAACAGGGACAACCCCGUGGCUCCCAUUGUAAGUAUUCCAGUCCUAACUGGGACAGCUGGAACUACGCUGAUACAGAACUCAGUGAAGGACCUCACUUGAUGCUGAAGAUGGCAUGGAGAGACUUCAGCUAAGUCAGACUCACUCCUGUUCUGAACCAGGAAUUCUGAUUAUGCAACAGUCACCAUUGUAAAGAACAGACGUGA